rnacentral:rRNA from 1 species
GACGAACGCUGGCGGCGUGCUUAACACAUGCAAGUCGAACGGAAAGGCCCUGCUUUUGUGGGGUGCUCGAGUGGCGAACGGGUGAGUAACACGUGAGUAACCUGCCCUUGACUUUGUGAGAACUUUUGGAAACUGCGGCUAAUACCGGAUAGGAGCUCCUGCUGCAUGGUGUGCGUUGGAAAGUUUCGGCGGUUGGGGAUGGACUCGCGGCUUAUCAGCUUGUUAGUGGGGUAGUGGCUUACCAAGGCUUUGACGGGUAGGCGGCCUGAGAGGGUGAACGGAGACAUUGGGACUGAGAUACGGCCCAGACUCCUACGGGCGGCAGCAGUGGAGAAUAUUGCACAGUGGGGGGAAGCGUGAUGCAGCAACGCCGCGAGCGGGAUGACGGCCUUCGGGGUAUAAACCGCUGUCGCCUGUGACGAAGCGUGAGUGACGGUAAUGGGUAAGAAAGCACCGGCUAACUACGUG